rnacentral:rRNA from 1 species
UUCCAGACUCCUACGGGAGGCAGCAGUGGGGAAUAUUGCACAAUGGGGGGAACCCUGAUGCAGCAACGCCGCGUGGGUGAAGAAGUACUCCGGUAUGUAAAGCCCUGUCAGCAGGGAAGAAAAUGACGGUACCUGACCAAGAAGCUCCGGCUAACUACGUGCCAGCAGCCGCGGUCAUACGUAGGAUCCGAGCAUUAUCCGGAGUGACUGGGUGUAAAGAGUUGCGUAGGUGGCAUAGUAAGUAGCUAGUGAAAUCUGGUGGCUCAACCAUUCAGACUAUUAGCUAAACUGCUAAGCUCGAGACCGGUAGGGGUAACUGGAAUUUCUAGUGUAGGAGUGAAAUCCGUAGAUAUUAGAAGGAACACCGAUAGCGUAGGCAGGUUACUGGGACGGUUCUGACACUAAGGCACGAAAGCGUAGGGAGCAAACGGGAUUAGAUCCCCGUAAC